AAGGUUCCUCGGCCUUUUAACUAAGAUAUAUAUAGUAUCUGUUCUUAUAAGUUUAAUAUCUGAUACAUCCUCUAUCCAAAGACAAUACAUUAUAUGGAUUUUUGGAGCAGGGAAUUGGAAUAGAAGUUUGAUCCUUCCACUCUGUGCAUUGACCUGGUAUUGCAGUACCUCCAGGAGUAGUGCACCUCCU